rnacentral:rRNA from 1 species
CAAUAGCGUAUAUUAAAGCUGUUGCGGUUAAAAAGCUCGUAGUUGGAUUUCUGUCAAGGACAACUGGUCCGCCCUCCGGGUGAGCACAUAGUUUGGUCUUGGCAUCUUGUUCAAAACUGUUACUGCGCUUGGUUGUGUGGUGCAGUUUUGGGCACUUUCACUUUGAGGAAAUUGGAGUGUUUCAAGCAGGCACAUGCCUUUGGACACAGUAGCAUGGAAUAAUUAGAUUGGGCUUUUGCUCCAACUUGUCGGUUCCUGGAGCUGAGGUGAGAAUCAAUGGGGAUUGUUGGGGGCAUCUGAAUUUAGCCGUCAGAGGUGAAAUUCUUGGAUCUGCUAAAGACGGACAACUGCGAAAGCGUUGGCCCAGGAUGUUUUCAUUGA